CCAGACUCCUACGGGAGGCAGCAGUGGGGAAUAUUGGGCAAUGGGCGCAAGCCUGACCCAGCAACGCCGCGUGAAGGAAGAAGGCUUUCGGGUUGUAAACUUCUUUUGACAGGGAAGAGCAGAAGACGGUACCUGUCGAAUAAGCCACGGCUAACUACGUGCCAGCAGCCGCGGUAAUACGUAGGGGGCAAGCGUUAUCCGGAUUUACUGGGUGUAAAGGGAGCGUAGGUGGCAUGGUAAGCCAGAAGUGAAAACCCAGGGCUCAACUCUGUGGAUUGCUUUUGGAACUAUCAAGCUAGAGUGCUGGAGGGGUAAGCGGAAUUCCUAGUGUAGCGGUGAAAUGCGUAGAUAUUAGGAGGAACACCGGUGGCGAAGGCGGCUUACUGGACAGAAACUGACACUGAGGCUCGAAAGCGUGGGGAGCAAACAGGAUUAGAUACCCGAGUAGA
rnacentral:rRNA from 1 species